AUUAUCACACAACCAUCUAGUUU
rnacentral:snRNA from 1 species